rnacentral:rRNA from 2 species
GUCGAACGCCCCGCAAGGGGAGUGGCAGACGGGUGAGUAACGCGUGGGAACAUACCCUUUCCUGCGGAAUAGCUCCGGGAAACUGGAAUUAAUACCGCAUACGCCCUACGGGGGAAAGAUUUAUCGGGGAAGGAUUGGCCCGCGUUGGAUUAGCUAGUUGGUGGGGUAAAGGCCUACCAAGGCGACGAUCCAUAGCUGGUCUGAGAGGAUGAUCAGCCACAUUGGGACUGAGACACGGCCCAAACUCCUACGGGAGGCAGCAGUGGGGAAUAUUGGACAAUGGGCGCAAGCCUGAUCCAGCCAUGCCGCGUGAGUGAUGAAGGCCUUAGGGUUGUAAAGCUCUUUCACCGAUGAAGAUAAUGACGGUAGUCGGAGAAGAAGCCCCGGCUAACUUCGUGCCAGCAGCCGCGGUAAUACGAAGGGGGCUAGCGUUGUUCGGAAUUACUGGGCGUAAAGCGCACGUAGGCGGAUAUUUAAGUCAGGGGUGAAAUCCCGCAGCUCAACUGCGGAACUGCCUUUGAUACUGGGUAUCUUGAGUAUGGAAGAGGUAAGUGGAAUUCCGAGUGUAGAGGUGAAAUUCGUAGAUAUUCGGAGGAACACCAGUGGCGAAGGCGGCUUACUGGUCCAUUACUGACGCUGAGGUGCGAAAGCGUGGGGAGCAA